AUUGGACGCUGGCGGUAUGCUUAACACAUGCAAGUCGAACGGCAGCAUGGUCUAGCUUGCUAGACUGAUGGCGAGUGGCGGACGGGUGAGUAACGCGUAGGAAUAUGCCUUGAAGAGUGGGACCACUUGGGGAAACUCAAGCUAAUACCGCAUGUACUCGAGAGAGUAAAGCUGGGGACCUUUAGGCCUUGCGCUUUGAGAUUAGCCUGCGUCCGAUUAGCUAGUUGGUAGGGUAAAGGCCUACCAAGGCGACGAUCGGUAGCUGGUCUGAGAGGAUGAUCAGCCACACUGGAACUGAGAGACGGUCCAGACUCCUACGGGAGGCAGCAGUGGGGAAUAUUGGACAAUGGGGGGAACCCUGAUCCAGCAAUGCCGCGUGUGCGAAGAAGGCCUGAGGGUUGUAAAGCACUUUCAGUGGGGAGGAGGUUUGGAAGGUUAAGAGCUAUUCAAAUGGACGUUACCCACAGAAGAAGCACCGGCUAACUCCGUGCCAGCAGCCGCAGUAA
rnacentral:rRNA from 1 species